rnacentral:rRNA from 1 species
AUUGAACGCUGGCGGCAUGCCUUACACAUGCAAGUCGAACGGCAGCGGGGGAGAAGCUUGCUUUUCCUGCCGGCGAGUGGCGAACGGGUGAGUAAUACAUCGGAACGUGCCCUGUAGUGGGGGAUAACUAGUUGAAAGAUUAGCUAAUACCGCAUACGACCUGAGGGUGAAAGUGGGGGACCGCAAGCCCUCAUGCUAUAGGAGCGGUCGGUGUCUGAUUAGCUAGUUGGUGGGGUAACGGGCUGCCAAGGCGACGAUCAGUAGCUGGUCUGAGAGGACGGUUAGCCACACGGGGACUGAGACAGGGCCCAGACUCCUAGGGGAGGCAGCAGUGGUGAAUUUUGGGGAGUGGACGAAAGCGGGAUCCAGCAAUGCCGCGUGUGUGAAGAAGGCCUUCGGGUUGUAAAGCACUUUUGUCCGGAAAGAAAUGGCUCUGGUUAAUACCUGGGGUCGAUGACGGUACCGGAAGAAGAAGGACCGGCUAACUACGUGCCAGCCGCCGCCGUAA